UGGGGUUGUAGCUCAGUGGUAGAGUAUCUGCCCAGCAUGCCAGAAGGCCCUGGGUUUGAUUCCCAGCACUGUAA
rnacentral:tRNA from 1 species